rnacentral:tRNA from 1 species
GGCCAGGUAGCUCAGUCGGUAGAGCAGGGGACUGAAAAUCCCCGUGUCGGCGGUUCGAUUCCGUCCCUGGCCACCU